GAUGAAAGUGGCGCACGGGUGCGUAACGCGUAUGCAACCUACCCUUUACUGGGGGAUAGCCCGGAGAAAUUCGGAUUAAUACCCCAUAGUAUCACAGAUUGGCAUCAUGAAGUGAUUAAAGAUUUAUUGGUAAAGGAUGGGCAUGCGUGACAUUAGAUAGUUGGUGAGGUAACGGCUCACCAAGUCAACGAUGUCUAGGGGUUCUGAGAGGAUGAUCCCCCACACUGGUACUGAGAUACGGACCAGACUCC
rnacentral:rRNA from 1 species